rnacentral:rRNA from 1 species
UACAGAGGGUGCAAACGUUGUUCGGAAUUACUGGGCGUAAAGCGCGUGUAGGCGGCUAUGUAAGUCGGGCGUGAAAUCCCACGGCUCAACCGUGGAAGUGCACUCGAAACUGCAUAGCUAGAGUCCUGGAGAGGAAGGUGGAAUGCUUGGUGUAGAGGUGAAAUUCGUAGAUAUCAAGCGGAACACCGGUGGCGAAGGCGGCCUUCUGGACAGUGACUGACGCUGAGACGCGAAAGCGUGGGGAGCAAACAGG